rnacentral:rRNA from 1 species
CCUACGGGGUGCUGCAGUGGGGAAUAUUGGACAAUGGGCGAAAGCCUGAUCCAGCCAUGCCGCGUGUGUGAAGAAGGCCUUCGGGUUGUAAAGCACUUUCAGUGGGGAAGAAAGCCUUGGGGCUAAUACCCUCGAGGAAGGACAUCACCCACAGAAGAAGCACCGGCUAACUCCGUGCCAGCAGCCGCGGUAAUACGGAGGGUGCGAGCGUUAAUCGGAAUUACUGGGCGUAAAGCGCGCGUAGGCGGUCUGAUAAGCCGGUUGUGAAAGCCCCGGGCUCAACCUGGGAACGGCAUCCGGAACUGUCAGGCUAGAGUGCAGGAGAGGAAGGUAGAAUUCCCGGUGUAGCGGUGAAAUGCGUAGAGAUCGGGAGGAAUACCAGAGGCGAAGGCGGACUUCUGGACUGACACUGACGCUGAGGUGCGAAAGCGUGGGUAGCAAACAGGAUUAGAUACCCCAGUAGUC